GUCAUUGUAUUUAUAGUACAACUAAAUGUUUAGAAUUUUGGGUGUGGGGGUAAUGAUAUGGUUUAAAUAGUGUGUUGAUGUCUUUACCUAAAUUGCUUUUAUUUUAUAGAGAAAACUCUCAAAAUGGGAUAGGAAGGAAGAGCAUGAGAAGAAGAAUACCACUAAAUAGGGAAGAGAGGUGGGAGGGAAAAAGAGGGAGAAAGGGAGUUGCAUGGAAGAUGAAAGGAGAACCUCAUCGUUAUACAGAAUACAUAUAUGCUGUUGUAAUAUCAUGUGUAGAUAAUAAAAAAAGAAAUAGACAUUAAUGAUGCUACAGGAAAAAAAAGAAAAAACAGUUGAGAAUUUAUUAGUACUUGUCAUAAUGAUUUGUUAGGUUUUAGAUAAUGUAAACAGUUUGUUUGGUAAGAAGUAGUUGGUAAGAUAUUUAUCUUUGAUUUUUUUCUGAAGGUGAGUUUUAUGUAGGAAUCUGUACUUUAGGAUCACAUGGUGUUGUGUACAGAGUGUCCAGGGAGCAAUUAGGAGGGCAUUCUGUUAAAUCUUUUGCCUCGAGACAAGACCAUUAGGUGAACUGUGUAUGAGCCUCAAGGGGUGUAAACCAAAUAAUUCAUGUAGUCAUCCGUUUCCUUUCAUAUUGAGGUAUCUAAAACCUUUAAAUCUGUAUGAAUCUAAGAAAGUUUACCUGUUAGAUCCAGCAGUUAUCCUCUAUCACUUGAUUAUUUUUGAGAAAGUAUUAUUUCAGAAUUUGUAACUUAUUGAUUGAACAUUAGGCACUUGAACCUUGAAUUGCAUUUUCCAUUUUGAUGUGAGUAUCCUGAAAGUUUCCUUAUGAUUAAAUAUACGCAAAUCUUUUCUGUAAUCUAUUUUAUGUCAGCAGAAAAGGUAUUUUUGUUGAUUUAUUAAUUAUUUUUCAGGGUUAAUAAAUUCCAUCAAAGGAUGACUGAGAUUUCUCACUACCAUAUUCUUAUGUUCUCUCAAAACACUACCAUAUUCUUAUGUUCUCUCAAAGCACCAGGUUCAGAUGUUCACUUUUCCUGAGCUCUAGACUCCUAUAGUGUGAUUGUUCACUGCAUUUGACUUGCAUGUCAAACUUGAAUCUCAAGACUAUUUUCCUUCCAAACCUAUCUCUCCCUAUUUGUUCCCUAGUUCUGUAAAUGGUACCACCAGCCACUGAGUUGCUCAAGCCAGAAAAUUAUCAAUAUCUUAUCAUUUUUACCUCCUGUAUAUCUCUUAAGUGAAUCCUCUCUUCAUCAUCACCACCACUACACUAAGUCCAAUCACUAUGGCUGAUUCACUGUAGUAACUUUUUCCUCUGUAACUUACCCUUGCCACCCUAUGACUGACCUCCUGACACUGUAACUAAGUGGUCUGUUAAGCAGUUAUGAGCAUGUUUUUUUUCCUGUUUAAAGUCUCUUACUGAUUUUUUUUUUAUCAUUCUUAAGACCAAAGUCUGCCUACUAACCUUUCAUGAUCUGUCCUGCCAACUUAUAUUUUUCUCCCCCCACCCUUUAACAGAAAACGUUGUGUUUUGAUAUCUAAGGUUUUUAGCAUCAAAAUGAUAGGAUAUAGAAGAAGGGAAUGCUUUGGUUUUAAAAUAAAAAUUAUUGGUUAUAAAUGUGAUUGUUCUUUGGGUUGGGAAUGUAGCUCAGUUGUAGAGCACUUGCCUCACAUGCCCUAGGUUCUAUUUACUGCACUGCAAAAAAAAAAAAAAAUUGUUUUUUAUCUUUAUGUACUCAAUUCAUGUAGUCCCCGGAGUUUAUGCACAUGAGUAUCAAAUGAUAUGGCUUUCGUCAGUGUUUAUAAACCAUAAAAUAUAAAUGUAAAAUAUCAUUUCUCUUUACUUUUUUGUUCCCAUCCAUCCUUUCUUUUGCUUCUACUCUACAUAUUGAUAAAAAGAUGCUAUGUGUGGCAAUAAUUUUAUAGGAAUAUUGGCAUAAAAUGAUCAUAAUUUUCCAAUUUGGAAUGUUUUUUGGAUGGAAACUUAGGAAACAGUCUAUAAAAUAAAUGAUUAUGAUAGAAGUGAUUUAUAUUCAGAAUAAAUGAUUGCUUAGGACCUGUCUGGAUCAUCUGUAAUCUUUUUCAAUUCUUUAUGUCUGCAUGGUUAGCUUUCAUGUUAAGAAAAGAUAUGAUGACUGUAGAAUUGUUUCCUACUUAUAUUUAAUUUAUGGCUAAACUUAGGGAAUAUGCUACUUCAACAUUUGUUGAACAGUUCUUUUUUUUUUAAAUAUAUUUUUUAGUUGUCGAUAGACCUUUAUUUAUUUAUAUGUGGUGCUGAGAAUCGAAUCCAGUGCUUUACACAUGCCAGGAACCACUGAACCACAGCCACAGCCCUCAACAGUUAUUUGACAUCCAUUUUUAUACAGCCCUCCUGGCUGUAGAGGGAAGGUCAAUGGGAAACACUACAUUAGCUGUGAGAGACUGUCAUCUUGUGAUUGGAGACAUACUGAUAUGAAAUACAAAUGCUUUAGAUAAGGCAUGGAAAACACCAUUUCUAAUCUGGUGGAAUGAAAUUGCCAAGUAUUGGGAUUG
rnacentral:lncRNA from 1 species